CCUUUGACGUUAGCGGCGGACGGGUGAGUAACACGUGGGUAACCUACCUAUAAGACUGGGAUAACUUCGGGAAACCGGAGCUAAUACCGGAUAAUAUUUCGAACCGCAUGGUUCGAUAGUGAAAGGUGGUUUUGCUAUCACUUAUAGAUGGACCCGCGCCGUAUUAGCUAGUUGGUAAGGUAACGGCUUACCAGGCGACGAUACGUAGCCGACCUGAGAGGGUGAUCGGCCACACUGGAACUGAGACACGGUCCAGACUCCUACGGGAGGCAGCAGGU
rnacentral:rRNA from 1 species